ensembl:lncRNA
UGUAUAUACUCAACCAUAUGGAAAUGUGUUUUGUUUCAGAUUAUGUACUUUUCAUGUCAGUCAUAUCUUCUGUUUGAGUACUUUUAAUUAAUGCAUAAUCAAGUUUUUGAGGUCACCCAUGACUUUUCUCUUCUUUUUUUUAGUUUUUGGAGGUUCUGGAACUACAAGCUCAUGUGAUAAUUCAAUGAAAUGGGCAAUAAUGUGGGGAAGAUAGGGGUCUAUCCCUGUCAUCCUCGGUUUAGUGUUUGUCACCGAGGCCAAACAUGCUUGACUAUGUAUAUGACCCAUUGUUUAACCAGCAUAUUAACUGUACAUGUUAUUUCUUUCUGUUACUUUUUUUCUGGGGGAAGGGAUAUAGGGAUGUAAUAGUUGUUUCUAAUUAAGUUAUUUGAUUAAGCACCUGUUUUCUUGCCCCCCCCAUCCAAAUGGUUUAUUUGUAUGGAUAUAAUAACCCUGAACUAAAACUCAACUCAAAUAUGAUGGUGGUGGUGGUUUUAUCCGAUCAUGUUACUUGAGACUAAAUGCUUGCUGUUCAAAUUCUUAUUGAUAGAUGCAAAGUAUUUAUGUAUUUAUGGCAGAAAAUUCAUUUAUUUGGUUCAUUUUGUGAUGUGUUGUUGUGUAAGAUACAGGAACACGUGGAUUUCUUUUUGUUUUAUUGUAUGUAUAUCGGUCUUUAUUUAUGUGGUUUGGUGACGGGUGUUGGGUCUGAUUUUGAUAAAUACUCAGAGCAGUUAGGCUGUGAUUGUGUAAAGUUCUUGGCCUUUGAAAGUUGUUCUCAAUUAUGGACGAAUGUAUGUCCAUUUCUAUGUAUGUGUAAAUACAGUCCAGCACAAACCCUCUACAGAAAUGCAACCACUGUUGUACCCCAAUACAGUGAUGUCAUCAUGACAGGCCACAAACAAACUCCAUACAAAACUAUUACAACUGUUGUAAGGCACAGAAGGAAAAGCUCUGCUUUUAGGAUAAGGAAAGCGUAAUUCUCUUCUCAAGGGACCCAAAGCCUCUGGAUAGGAUCACUACGGGUGUGCCCGAAUACCCAUAGCUAUACUCCUAAAUAGUAGGCUGUUUGAAUAUGUGGGGGAAAAAAGAAUGUUUUAUAGUAUGUGAAAUGUUGAAAAUCUAGUAUACUUUAAAUGCCCGGAUGUCAUACUCAUUUCAGCUUUUUUAUCUAGUAGAAUACGCUGCACACUAUUGAGGAAGAGAAUUGUCUUUUCACACCCACGUUUGUUCGAGAACAACUGAUAAUCCGAACAAGGAGCACGCUCUACAAAAAAUAUUAAAUGGCGGGGAACAAGCGCGCAUUCGAUGACGCCUUCUCAGUAUGGAUGCGUAGUAUGUUGAUAUUUGUUGCUGACUGCAUACGUUUGUACUCAACAGUAUGUUCUAAAUAGUAUGUAGUACGAUUAGUACACCGUAUGCAGUUUAAGUAGUAGGCAAGGAGGAUUUCGACACAGCCUAUGACUUCUACUCUAUUCUCACCAGGCUCAUUGAAAUCACAGUGCGUUUCUGUGGCUGUGCUGCCAUUGCUUCAGCAUAGGACCAGAGAUGGUGAAGUGGCUCUUUGGGUCAGACAGGAGAUGGAAGAAAAAGGGUGAAGGGGAAAGAAAGCUAAACUAAAUUCUGUGCAAUAGACGUGAUGCUCUUGUUGAAGCUGGCUUGGCUGCUACUUGUUGAUCUCUCUUCAAUUGUUGUAUAUUCAGAUUGUCGUGCAAUAUUUUUGUAGGAAAUGAAGACAAAAGUGAUAAUCGGGAAAGGAUUCUUCAGUUUUCUAUUUCUCGUUGUUUCUCUCCAUAGAAAACCGUAUCUGAACGUUAGGUAACUUGGGACCCCUGGGCUGGAAUUGAGCUCAUGAGAAGAGUAAACAAAAACACAUUUUGGGCUGUCAUGCUACUUCUGCUACUGCUGCUGUUGUAACUCUGUACUCUCUAAACCCAUUCGUACGCUCCUGAUCUGUCUCUCCCUACGAUUCACAGUAUACUAACAUAGUGUCAUGGCUUCCUGCUGCGGAAUUUUGUUUUUGUAAGAGGGAUGUUGUACACGGUUCUAGAGAUGGAUCAUGUGAUGAAGCGCUAUUGUACAUGGCCUCAAUAAAAAAGCUCACCUGAAGUCCA